rnacentral:lncRNA from 1 species
CUGGUGCAACUACAGACUCUUUUGAAACACCAAAAUCAGGCAAUCGCAACUCUCUACAUCAGGAUCACGACAGCUUUCAAAGAUCUGUUCUGACGAAGCUUGAUAUAGCGCUUGAAAAACAAGAAGCAUUAUCAAUUUUGCGGGUAGUACUUGGUGCCACAAGAGGUGUUAGUGGAAAUGAAAUGCUUGAGGAUAUUAUUCCCAAUCCUCUGGACUCAGUUGAGGAAUUGGAAAACCUUAAUGAUCGACUUGCAGAUGAAGAUGCUAGGAAAAAAAUGUUACAAUUCUUCCUUGCUCUGUGUAGGCAUAAC